UCUGAACCAGCUAUGGGUAUGGAAAUUAUAACAUUAUACUCCAUUUCUAUUAUAAGGAAUUUUAGCCUAAUAAAAUUUUUAUUAAACUGUCAGGGAUUCCGUAAUACCAAUGUAAUAUUAAAAAUCACUCAUAGUAUCAAGGUAAGAUUAUAGGUUCUUUUAUAUUAUCAUUAUAUAAAACAAUAUUUGUUGUCAUUUCUUAUUACUGAUGUAACUUGAACUAAAGUAAGUAAUUCUUAAUAUGCUUAAAAGUCGCUAACAAAAGUAAGUUGAAAUUCUCAAAUUAGGUCUAUGGAUAGAGAGUUGUUCGAGGUAGCCAACUAUUUUUAAUUUAUGUAUUCUGCAAAUAGCCUCUUGACCAGUCUAGGCAUUCACGGUCAAAUCUCUAACUUGAUCGUCGGAGGGGGUUUCCAGGUAUCCCCCGAGGGUAAUUUAUAUUUGCUUCCUUGCAGCUAUUCCUUAUUUCCUUAGCGGUCCCCCACUCCACCCUCGGCGGACUUAGUUUGAAGACUGCCACCUAUUUCACUACCAGAACAUUAAGUAUAUCUAGAAAACAUUAGUUUUUUCAUGAGAAGAAAAACUAAUUAGUGUGAUUGUUUGUCAGCAAUUCCAUGACAUGUCUCUUGUUGCUUCUAUUUUGAUAAUACCAAACAAACUUUUAUCAUCAUAAAGCAUUAUCAGGUGAUAAAAUAAGAAAAUGUGUGAUAUUGUUUUACACUCCUUCAUUAGUGUCAUAGUGUGGCAAUCAGCAUCCUGAUAUUAUAAAAUUGUAAAUUCUGCUUGAUUGCAUGCAUGGUUGCAUCCUGUGUCACAAACACUUUUCUAGUUUCCACCUAGAUAUGACUGUAUCCCCUGAGGGAGAUAUGUGAAAAGAUAAUAAAGUACUUUUCGAGUAGGAUUUCUCAAAUGACUGAUCAUGAGCAUUACCACUAUACUAGGGUUCUAUGUUACUUGGACUUGAGUACUCAUGUCAGACACGCGUAUGUGUCAAAGUAUCCAACUUGCCGAUCAUAUGAAAACUUUCUAUAUUUUGACCGAGAAUGAAGUGUCAACGUGAUCAUAUCCAUGUCGGAGUGUUAGGAUUUGACAUGGGUACAUGACAUAAAUAAAGAGUCCGGUUAACAUAGCUAGGCUCAUUGUAGAGGGGAUCUCAUACUUAGGCUCUAUGCUCCGCACCUCAUAUUCACUUAUCUCAAGGUAAUAAGUUCAGAUUGAUUUAGAAAAGUUUAAAUGAGUUCAGAUACGGGCUGAUAAGUUCAGAUAGAGGCUAUUAAGUUCAGAUUAUGGUUAAAGUAAGAUCCAAUAAGUUCAGAUGAGUUACUAUAAGUUCAAGUAAGUCAAACAUAAAUUCAAACAAUUGAAAUUUAAUGAAGAGAACGCACCCUUAAUCACCAGACUAAGAUCUCAUUGGUUAUUGUUAUCUUUUGUCGUUCCGAUGAAAAAAAUUAAGUACAUCAGACUUAGGAAAUGCUGAAAUGAUAAGUGAGGUAACUGAUGUAUGAUGUCAGAAUAUUCUUGAACUGAUAGACUGAUAGAUGUCAAUUUGUAAUUUGACAGGGGCAGCCAAUCUGACAAGACAGACAGCACGGCUAGAUUCUUGGAAGAAUCACUGAUGUUGGAAUUUGACUAUCUGAUGGAGUGAAAUCUGAAGAACAACACGAAACGGAGAGUCAUGGCAAGUGCAAGAGGAGUGAGAUAUGCAGAAGUAGAGAAGCGGCUGCCUUGGAGUCAUUAAAGCUUCAAAACUAGCAAUUUCAAGGUUUUAGUACUUCUUAUUUGAUUAUUGAAGAUGUUCUUGCUUUAGUUUCUAGUUUUGAUUGUAUUAAAUGGUUGUUUACUAGGAGAAUCGGGAAUAAGGUUGCUCAUUCUUUGGCUCCAUCUCCAACUUGUGAAAUUUGGCCAACGAGUAUGAGAGUUUGACUUUCCUACUUUCAUUGUAGAUAUUGCUUGUGCUCAUAUAUCGAUUUAAUCCUUUGACGAACUUCACUCAAGGAAAAAGAAACAAAGGAAUACCUUUUUAUAA